rnacentral:rRNA from 1 species
UACGGGGGGGGCAAGCGUUGUUCGGAAUUACUGGGCGUAAAGGGCUCGUAGGCGGCCAACUAAGUCAUACGUGAAAUCCCUCGGCUUAACCGGGGAACUGCGUCUGAUACUGGAUGGCUUGAGUUCGGGAGAGGGAAGCGGAAUUCCGGGUGUAGCGGUGAAAUGCGUAGAUAUCCGAAGGAACACCGGUGGCGAAGGCGACUACCUGGCCUGUUCUUGACGCUGAGGCGCGAAAGCUAGGGGAGCAAACGGG